rnacentral:lncRNA from 1 species
AAGAAAAAAGAAAAGAAAAAAAGAAAAGGGAGCUAGCAAAGUUGUUUAGAGCUAAGAUUUGUUUAGAAGUUAAGAAAUUCCUUUAUAGAUUUCAAAGAAAAAUAGUUUUAUGUGCAAAAUGUUCUUGAGAUCUUUUGGUGAGAGAUGCGAGUUGGGUUUGACAUUAUGAAGUGAUUGUGUAACUUAUAUAUUUGGGAAAAAGGUAGAACAAUGGAGAUUGAGCAUUGUAUGCAUGAGUUGGUCCCUUUCUUAGAUAUAUUAUGUGCAAUGUCAAGGCUACUCGUUUUGAGAGUAAACCACUUUAAAAGAUCAUGGAUUUCGAACCUCUUGACCCACUUGAAUAAAAGUCUUUCCUUACUCAACCAAAUGAUUUGGACCAAUUGACCAUUUGCA